UCCAGAGGUCCCAAGCGUUGUUCGGAUUCACUGGUCGUAAAGGGUGCGUAGGCGGUCGGGUAAGUCUGAUGUGAAAUCUCCAAGCUUAACUUGGAAAUGGCAUCGGAUACUAUUCGGCUCGAGGAAUGGAGGGGAGACUGGAAUACUUGGUGUAGCAGUGAAAUGCGUAGAUAUCAAGUGGAACACCAGUGGCGAAGGCGAGUCUCUGGACAUUUCCUGACGCUGAGGCACGAAAGCCAGGGGAGCAAACGGG
rnacentral:rRNA from 1 species